rnacentral:rRNA from 1 species
UACGAAGGGACCUAGCGUAGUUCGGAAUUACUGGGCUUAAAGAGUUCGUAGGUGGUUGAAAAAGUUGGUGGUGAAAUCCCAGAGCUUAACUCUGGAACUGCCAUCAAAACUUUUCAGCUAGAGUAUGAUAGAGGAAAGCAGAAUUUCUAGUGUAGAGGUGAAAUUCGUAGAUAUUAGAAAGAAUACCAAUUGCGAAGGCAGCUUUCUGGAUCAUUACUGACACUGAGGAACGAAAGCAUGGGUAGCGAAGAGGAUUAGAUACCCUCGUAGUCCAUGCCGUAAACGAUGUGUGUUAGACGUUGGAAAUUUAUUUUCAGUGUCGCAGCGAAAGCGAUAAACACACCGCCUGGGGAGUACGACCGCAAGGUUAAAACUCAAAUGAAUUGACGGGGACCCGCACAAGUAGUGGAGCAUGUGGUUUAAUUCGAAGAUACGCGCAGAACCUUACCAACACCUGACAUGUUCGUCGCGACUCUAAGAGAUUAGAGUUUUCGGUUCGGCCGGACGAAACACAGGUGCUGCAUGGCUGUCGUCAGCUCGUGUCGUGAGAUGUUGGGUUAAGUCCCGCAACGAGCGCAACCCUCACUUUUAGUUGCCAUCAUUAAGUUGGGCACUCUGAAAGAACUGCCAGUGAUAAGCUGGAGGAAGGUGGGGAUGACGUCAAGUCCUCAUGGCCCUUACGUGUUGGGCUACACACGUGCUACAAUGGUAUCUACAACAGGAAGCAAGACUGCGAAGUUAAGCAAAUCCCUAAAAGAUACCUCAGUUCGGAUUGCACUCUGCAACUCGAGUGCAUGAAGCUGGAAUUACUAGUAAUCGUGGAUCAGCGUGCCACGGUGAAUGCGUUCCCGGGUCU